rnacentral:rRNA from 1 species
GAAGUCGAAGCUCGAUGGAUUCAUUCUUUGAUUCGCGCAGUGCUGAUUUGGCUCCUGACGGCGGCCUGCAUCAAGACCGGGCGGCUCAAGAUAGCGAGGCGAGCAAUCGAUCUGGCGGAGGCGAGGCUGGCGAGGGACAGCUGGCCGGAGUACUACGACGGCAAGCUCGGCCGGUACGUCGAGAAGCAGGCGAGGAAGCACCAGAUGUGGUCCAUCGCGGGCUACCUGGCGGCCAAGAUGAUGCUGGAGGACCCGUCCCACCUGGGCAUGAUCUUUCUCGAGGAGGACAAGGCCAUGAACCCUGUGCUCAAGAGGUCUGCCUCAUGGACUGUGUGA